AAAAUCCGUCGACUUUAGAAAUCGUGAGGGUUCAAGUCCCUCUAUCCCCCCAAAAAGACCGAUUUGACUAUUUCUCCUACCCUCUCUUUUUUUUAGUGGUUCCAAAUUCGUUCUCUUUCUCAUUCAUUCUACCUUUUUACAAACGUAUCAGAGCAGAAUUUUUUUUUCUUUUAUCACAAGUGGUGUGGUAUAUAUGAUAUACGUACAAAUGAACAUCUUUGAACAAAGAAUCCCGAUUCACAAUUCAUAUCAUUGCUCAUACUGAAACUUAUAAAUUAUUCUAUUCAAGAAAUCGAAUUCCACGCUCAAGACUUUUAAUACUUUUUUUAUCUUUUUUAAUUGACAUAGACCCCAGUCAUCUAGUAGAAUGAGGAUGAUGCGCCGGUAAUGGUCGGGAUAGCUCAGCUGGUAGAGCAGAGGACUGAAAAUC
rnacentral:tRNA from 1 species